AGCCCCGCAGGCUCUAACUCCAGCCCACCCCUCCAGUUUGUUCAACUGUCCAGGCAGGCAGGGCACCUUUCACUUCCUCCAAGGUACCAUGCUUCCUCCUGCUUUUGGUUAUUUCCCAGUUGCACGGUAAUUUCUGCCUUUCCCCCAUCCUCCUUCCAACGCAUGAACUUUGGUUAAGUCUUACUCAUCCUUUAGGUCACAAGCUGACCACCACUUCCUUAGGGAAACCCCCAUAGCUUCCCUUCAUCUUGCUCCUUAUACAUCAUUUCAAUUACUUCUAUUUAAAUAAAUCUGUCAGCACUACUAGACUCUAAGUUUGGCCAGAUUGCAGACCCUGUCCUUGUUAGGGACUCAUCACUGGUCCCUACACAGUGUCUGGCAUUCUAGUAAGGGCUGGACAAAUACUUGCUGAAUGAUGGAAUGAUUGACUGAAUGAAUCAAUGGAAGAUAAAUAAAGUGGGUAGCCAAAGGGGAAGCCUUGUGAGUGCAUAGCCAGUAAAUGAAUGAACAAAAGAACAGAAGCAAUGUUGGAAUAUUGCAGGGGAUGCGAUUUCUGGUUUCACUCUAUGUUUCAAAUUAUUUUUCUCGAGUGGUGUGUGGAAGCUUAAAUGCAAUGUCUGCACAAGGAACAACAGGGGACCGGAAGAAUGGAGCCCAUAAAAAUCUGUUAGGCAUGUAGGAACUUCACGGAUUAUAGUUUGUCUUUAUGUAAAGAAUGUCCUAAUACGAGGGGCUGAUUUUAAUAAAACUACAUGCAUUUAGGGAUGUCUGAGUGACUCAGUCUGUUUAGCAUCUGCCUUCAGUUCAGGUCACGAUCCCAGAGUCCUGGGGUCGAGUCCCACUUCAGGCUCCUUGCUCAACGAAGAACCUGCUUCUCCCUCUGCCCUCUGCUCUCUGUGUUUGUGUGUUCGUGCUCUCUCACUCUCUCUCUCUGACAAAUACAUAAAUAAAAUCUUAAAAAAAAAAAAAAACUAUAUGCAUUUAAAGAUAACGCAUGUCCCAUAGAUUUCAGUUCUUUUUUGUGGUCUUUCUUCCUAGUCACAGAAGUGAGAGGAUUGGUUGCCCAGAAGGCCGCAGCAGGGAACUCCCUUAUUUCCAUCAGAGUAGAAAGGGAUUGAGGGUCUGAGUGCUGGCAGUGCUUGUGUUACUGUGGGACUUGGGACAACUAGUCUGUCUGCUCUAGACCUCAAAUUCCGUAUUUGUUCAGUGAGAAAGUUGGGCCAGAUCCUAUCCAGUUUAAAGUUUUUUCUUUUUUUUUUAAUCUUAGUAUCCUUCAUUUUUCAUACAGUGUCUGCAAUAAAAGUGGGGAUCGACCAGUUUUUAUUAAAUGGAUAAGCCAAGCAUCGAGUGUUUCCCAUAGACGUAAUUUACCUGUGCCGCUCUCCUGCUCAGUCUGUUAGAUGAUGGUUUUUCAGAACCACAAGGGUUAUCCAGUAAGGUUGGCACAUUGCACAAACACUCAUUUUCCUCUUUCUUACUGUGUGUGGGAGACAGCCUCUAAGAUGGGGCCCUGUGACCAUGAGCUCAUCCUAUUCAUGUCCUCGUGGGAUCCCUUCCUCUAGAGUGUAGACUGGACAUACUGACGCACUUCUAAAGGCAGAAAAUAGCAGAAGUGAUGGGUCACCACUUCUGAGAUUAAGUUGUUUAAACCCGAGAUUCUGUUUUGUUCUCUCCC